UAAGCUAUGCCAACAAAAUGACCUUCGUCUUAUCAGUUGAUGAUGGCUUAAUUCCUGAUCCACAUCAGCUAUGUGAUGAUCUUGAAGAAUCCCUCCACCUUAUCAAAAAUGCAUCAUUGCUCAAGGAUAUUAACUAAAAAUUAAUUAUUAGCCUAGUAUUACUAGAUAUUUUCAGUUCAAUAAGAUGCAAUUAUUGCAAUAUUUAUGUACUUUUUCUGAUGCAAAUAACUGAAGAGGGGAGAAGUGCGAUAACACUGAAUCUCUUCUACUUCAGAGCAAUGUUUGUAUGAUGAUGUCUAAUGAAUGGAAUUAAUUUGGUUUCGAAGCUUACAGGUCGAGUGUGCAUGUUAUUCAUUUUAGGUUGUAUUAUAUAAGUAUGUCAUGAAAUGAAAUUGAUUAUUAUUAUUAUUAUUUAAUCCACGUGAAUUGCGAACUUAUAUUGGAGGGGUUACAUACACAAAGUUAGGAUACAAAGUUUGGAUCUCAUGCGAUGUAACAUCUAAUGUGUUAUAAUUAUUACAUUACUGAUGGAAUAUAAAAUCAAUUAUUGCUUAAUAUAUGGUAGUCAAUAACUGAUGACACUUCAUCAGGAUGAUAAUUUUGUUUCCAAUAGCAUUCAGCAAUAAUAGUUAUUGAAUUAGAAAAUAGAAGAAAUAUACGUUCAUAUUAGCAAUGAAUGGAUAAAAAAGUCGAUUUCACUAGCCGGAAUAGUUACUAAUUAAUCAUGCGGUAGGAAUACUUCAUAUACUCUCCUGAGUAGCUCAAAAUUAUGCCUCGUAAUUAGCCAGAAUUUUGCUCAACAGAUCAGUUCAUAUCAACUACCAAUUUAGUGAAAGGCAAUUAGGGGUGGGCAAGGGCAUAGUGGGGUUCGGUUUGAUAUUCGGGUUAUCAACUCGGAAUGGGCCAGCUGAAGAUUGGGCUUUUGCCCAGAUUUUUUCUUUUUUUUUUUAUAACUUUCUAACGCCAAUUUUGUUAUUUGUAGAUUUAUUUUAGGGUAAUUCUAUUGUCGUCUAAAAUCACAAAAUAAUUCAUAAAAUGAUCGAGCAGCAAACGUUCCCUUCCAACUACAGUCAUUAAAAGAGAAAAACUAAAAACAUAAAAACAGAAGGUCUAAAAACAUUUACCAUCUAAAAUAUUACGACAAAUCAAAUGGGUCGCGUUAAUAAAAUCUUUUAUCAAAUUUGACGAAUGGGGAUGGGUUGAUGUUUUUAUUAUUGAAAGAUAAAUAAAAAUAUGUUAAUUUAUCUAGGUGAUAAACUGAAUCAACCUUAAAAAAUACAAUGUAAUUUCAAAAACUUUAAUUUCUUCUCAAUAAAUAUAUUUUCUUCAAUAUUUCUCUUUGUAUGUAUCUUUUUGUUCAUUUGAUAUUAUUACUACUGAUCGAUCACAUGAUUAUUUGUUCUUUUCUCUCUCUCUCUCUCUUUAAAUUGUUUCAGUUUCUAAAGACCAACCUUUUUCUGUAGCAGAAAUAAAUGCAGCCUCGAAAUCCAUAUGUAAAUUAGAGUAAAAUUUACCCUAAAUAAAUGAGAAAAUAAUUCACUAUUCACCACUGAUGAAAAUUAAACUCCUUCCAUUAAAAAUGGAGGAUGGAAAGUGAUACCCAACUAAGAGAUGAUUCUUAAAAUUGUUCAACUUUUAAAUUUUUUUCAUGCUUUCGUCAUCGUGUCGUCAUCGUGUAUAGCCGAAUGAUGAAAUAAAGGUUUGAAAAUUCUCGCAGAUAAUGAAAUUUUCCAUGGAAGGGGCAAGAUGAAAAGGAAUUUAUUACUUUCAACUACCUAUCUACAUCGAUCUUCUUCUAAAUUUUUACACGUACAAAUCUUCUCCUAAAUUAAAUUGAUUCAUCAAUUUUUUCAUGAAAGGGGCAAGAUGAAGACAUGUUCCGUUGUUGUGUUAAAUGUUCUCCAAAGCUCCACGUUUUCAAACUUGAGCCGCAACGCCAUUAUUUAAUGCGCAGCACUUAUUGUUAAUCCAUCACGAAUUAAUGCUACACUUAAAAUGACAGUAAUUCUAUACACACUUUAAAGUGACAUCUUAAGUGAUGUGUCAUGUCUAAGUAGAUGAUAAAAUUUGAUAAUUUGUGAAAUUAUUUAUUCAAAUAUUUUAUUAUUUCACAAAUAAGUGCUACUUGAGAGAUGCAAUCUCCGGUGAUAUCAAUUGAAAAAUACAAUAAUAUUACCCCUAAAAUUAUAUUUUAAAAAGCCAAGGACCUAGAUAGUUGCGUGGCCAAAAAAUUAAAUCAACAAGGGUAACAAUUUUGACCUACAUAAAAUACAAACAAUAAAGAAAAUAAAUAAUGUGUGUGUAUGUCGGGCGUGCGUGCAUAUGUGUGUAUUCUCUUAUCUAAAAUACAAUAAGGUUUAGGGUUUGAAACCCAUUUACAUAUAUGUGUAUUAUUUAUUCAAUUUUUGAGGUAAAAUUUAAAUCUAAAUUUUUAAUACAUUUUAAACUUAAUUUAAUUAGUCCAAAGGGGACAAAUUUAUAAUUUAAUUGAGCUAAAAAAAAUGUCCUAUGGAUUUUAUGGGCUAAGCGUGGGCAGCCCUUAGUGGCUCUGCCACUAGAUCUAGUAACUUCGGCUUUUCAAACAAGAGGGUGUCAAAGGAAAAUUUUGACAAAAUAUAGGAGGCUAUAUAUGGUAUUUAUGCCUUUUAUUAACAUUUAUCAUCUUCAUAAAUUUAUUCAAUCUAAAUGUAAUGACAUGCUUAUAAAAUUAGGAUACAAAUUUUGUAUCUCAAUAAUGAUGUACCUUUUGACAUGUACUUAUUUAUUUCACUCACCAGAGGUGAAGCUUAAGGUGGGCUAACCCGGGCUGAUUUUUUGAAAAAAAAUAAUUAUAAUUUAUAAAUUUAUCUUAAUAAUAUUUGUAAAAAAUAAAAACAAAUCUAAUAUUGAUUAAUAUUUUUUUACAUUGUAUUUUUAUAGUUUUAUGGUUAGAUUUUUACUUUGUAGUGUGCUUAAUUUCGUUUGUAUAAAAUAAAUGUUUGAGAAGUAAAUUUCAUUUUUUUAAAAGAUAUAGCCCACCCAAAAAUAUAUCCCUACUUUCAUAUCGGUAGGUAGGGAUCCAGCUAUGUUGCGUCAUGGGUUUGAUACCCCACUCCUUUGUCUUAUAGUGAAUGAGCCUUUAGAUUGGGAAGGAAGAUAUUUAACGGCCGAGAUUUAAUAUUUAGAAAACUGGUUACCGGCUGAAGACGUAACACCUGUAAAUCGAAAACAAAAAAUAACACUCACGUGUAAGCAUCAUCUGCAAUUCUUCCCACGAAUGAAGUUUUGCAGGUGAUGGUCGUCGGCAUUGUUGUCUUGAAACUAUUUUCGGAAAGCUGUGAUGGAGUAUUGAAUAUUUAUUAGUUAGGUUUUAUUAUAGUAAAACAAGGUAUUCACUUAUAGGGUCAGUAUUUGCAAAGAAUAUAGGGUUUUUAUCUGCAUAAUUGGGGAUUUAUUUGCUGAUUAAGUUAGGUUGUGAGAUUAACCAUUGUCGUCAGUUCUAGGCAAUUGGGUUGGUAUCCAACAGUGGAAUACAACCAUUUGAGUCGUGGCGAAGUAAAGUGAGCAAAGAUAUAUUGUGCAAAGUCUGUGUAUAUCAUAUAGUUGCAAUUUAGUAUCAAUUAGCGCUUACCGAGUGCCUUCUUGCGGCGUUGAGGUAUGUGUCGAUGAUGGAAAUUCAUAUUUCGCUUUAAAUUUGUGUCCAUGUGCAUAAUUAUUUGAUUAUGGUUGACUAGGUAGGCAUGAAGAAGUGUAAAUGGGCAUAGGACGUUAGGCUUGGUUGCAAAAUAGAAAUUGGCAGAAAGAAGUAGAAAAUGACAACAUAUUAUGUGUUGAAUUCAGUUGACCAUGUUUUGCCACCAAUGAAAAGGUAGAGUAGCUCCACUUGUCUUGAGGAAUCAAAUCAUCACCCUAAGAUAAUACCCAACCUUGAGGAAUCAAAUCAUCACCCUAAGAUAAUACCCAACCAUUAAUCCUUUCCUAGGAGGAUUACAAAUACGAUAGAUUAUCUUGUAUUUUACAAAAUGCACUGACAUUCAUACUCCACUUUUCCUUUGCUGCAAGUAAUCAUUGUUCUGUCGCAGGCAUAGGCACCUCUGUUCGAUUACCUGAACGCCCCUACUAGGAGCAGCAGCAACAUUGGGGAUACAAUCAGUAAGAUGUCGUUGUUAAUUUCAUCAUCCUCUCUAUGGAAAAUAGUAAAUGACAUUUCUCUUUGUAUGCCUUUAAAUGUGGAUUCGCCAGUUCAAGGUUUGUGAAAAGAUAUGUUCUAACUUGCGCCAUAUAUAAGUCCCACUCACAACUCAAUGUAUGGACCCCAUGAAGUUGUUUGCAGAGUUCAUGGGGAGUUUUUACAGUUCAUUGAGUUCGACACUGCUGUUGAUAGUUUUCAAAUCUUUAAACAUCAGUUCUAAUUUUGUACUAUUAUUGGUAUCGAAUAUUAGAUGGAAUCAUUUUGUGUAUGUUUUUGGAUGAUACUUUAUGCAAUUCACUACUUAUUGCCUUCAUGUCCUUAUACCCCAAUCCUGGUCCUAUCUUCACGUUCAGACAUUUUACUGCUUCGAUAUUUAUCAAUUCCUCCCCAAUUACAAAUACAGAAGGUUUGUUUGUUUUUUAUCGUGUGGUUGUUCAAUAUAUUUUUUUCCUUUACAAUUUCAUUCUCAAUUUUUUCAUAACAAUCAUCAAAUUCACAUUUGUUUCCUGUCUCUUAUUCGUCUACUUGUUCUCCAUUUUCUAACUACUUUCCUAUGGCAGCAUGCUCCACUUAUCUGCAACACCUAUACUAACUAUUAUCCAACAUCAGCAGCGUUUUGUUAUCCCCUCCCACAAUACAUAAUUCCAAUUUUAUUGAGCCUUUCAACUUCAUCCACAAUCUUUUUUUUUUUUUUAACUUCUAUUGUUGCUUUUAAAUUUUGGCUUUUCAAUCACACUGCAUUCUGUUCCUAUGGCAUUCCUGUUACCACAACUGUACAAUCGGGAUUACUUGUUUCCAUGGCCUUCUGUUUCUUAGCCCAGUCCUCUAUAUGAAACCAUGAACACUCAUGUAAAAGUGAUAAGUACAUGAACAAACGAGUAUCAAACUUAUUAAAUGAAGAUGACCAGCACCCAAAUUCCCCCCCCCCUCCCCCUCCCCCCCAAAACAAAAAUAUACAUAUAUUCUAAUCCUUUUUCACACCUACAACAACAUUAAUGAAUGAGAUUAUUCAUGUUUUCUAUUUUUAGUAAUACUAAAACUCAAAUAAUAAGUCCGCUCUUAAUAUAUCAUCAAAUUAUAGUUAUUUUGUUUUAUCCUAUUUCGUCUCCUUAUAUUAAUAACAUUUGGAUUCAUAAGACAUAUUAUGUACGCUGAUUAUCUCUUAAUUUGAAACAUUAACCUAUCUUCUUAAUUGGAUUAGAUUACGUGUGAAACUUAUAUGAACGAACUUAGUUUUUUCAACCAUACAAUUUACAUUACAUGUGUUCACAUAAACAAUUAUACAAACUUUCAUGUUGAUUAUGACUUACACGUUUAAAGGGUAACCUCGAAAAUAAAUCCCAAUUAAUCUGAUAACUUCUUGACCGACUUAAAUCAUCCAUGUCAGAUAAACUUCUUUUCUUUUACUGAUAUCAAUAUGCACAACUUACCUUGAUCAUAUUGUUUUCUAGACUAAUAAAUAGAACCACGGACACAAUAAUUUCAACCAAAAGAUGGGUAAAUAGGUUAUUUGCUUGUUAUUUUUCUCUAUAAUAUAUUAUAUUAUAUUAUAUAUAUAUAUAUAUAUAUAUAUAUAUAUAUAUAUAUAUAUAUUAUUUACGUAUUUCAUACAAUAAAAAUUAAUACCGCUAAACUAACUUAUAUUUCUUACUUUACUAUUCCAUUUCUUUCCUUUGGAUAUGUAAUACAAAGGCCUCAGUGUGUAUUCCAUAGUAAACGCACAACAAUAAAGUUCACGUACCAAGAGGGUUAUUGUCUUCUAUAAAAUUACAAUGGAAUUAAGUUGGAUAUGUUCAUCUUAGUACGAACAACUCACUAUCUCCAUUUAUAACUUUGCAAAGUAUAUCUGUAUGUUAGACUACAUUCACAUGACAAAUCCCUCUAUAAUUAAAUUCAUUUUUCCCACAAUUAUCUACGCUGAAGAAACGCAUCACCUGAUUAUUUUGCAAAAGUUGCCAACAUAAUUAUGGCAAAUUUUGUGUCAAUCUUACUCCGACCAGUACUAGCACACUUGCACGAAGUUGUUUGCAGCCAUUACUUCCAUAUAUCGGUUUGUUAUUGGAUUAAACGCAUAAGUUGUAAAAAUACACAAAGGAACUUAUUAUGUAUGCUCCCUUACCAGUCCUGCUGACCGGCCCAUUACUUGCUUCCCCGGUUGCUCUAUUUCUCUACGUGUUUUUUUCCUAACCGUCCAAUUAAAUCCAACCCUGACUUAAGUAAAUGACAAAUAAGUGGGGUAUGAUACUUGUGAUGUAAAGUAGUUUUGGCCCGGUAGGUAGAUAUAUAUAUUGUAAAAAUCAUGUAAAAUCAACAUAAUAUUCUUAGAUGCAAGAAUUAUCUAAAAUAUUCAUUGUUUAUUUCACAAUAUUAUAACUUUUCUUUUAUAUUGUAACUUUAAAAACUUUUCUAUUAAAAUAAAUUAAUUUUUAAUAAAAAAUUUUAUUGACAACCAAACAACUGUUUUUUUUUUAAUAAAAUAUCUACUUAUAAAAUUUUCUACUAAUAAAGUUCCACUUGAAUGAGCUAUGCUUGAACAAGUGUGCCAAAUAGACCCUAAGAGUUAAAAUAUUAUUUCCUACAUCUCUAAUAAUACUAAAAAUAUCUUAAUUUAAUUUAUUUAUUUACUUCUUAGGUCAAUACUGUUCUGCUUUCAAAAAAUCAAUUUCUGAUUUUGCAACAAAUGAACAUUUUGGAUUCUGUAAAGGGGACAAAAAAAUUGCCUUGCAAUUUUAAUUCUUGUCCCUUUAUAAAAUUAAAUGGAGGUUGACAAUGGGGAUGCUCAAUUUCUACCUGAGCAUAAGAAUCAACAGAUGGAGACAAUAACAUGCGAACACUUGUUUUUAUAUUUAUUGAGUUGAUGUUUGCUAACUUGACUGGACUAAUGAUAAAUAAAUUUAAUGAAUAUUUUAAAAAUGAUUAUAACAAUAAACUUAUUGUCACAAUUAAAUGCAAUCCUAAGACUCCACUAAAUACAAAAUAAUAUUAAAUACUAGAUAAUUUAAUCCUAUUAUGUCUUCUUAAAUCUAAUCUAAUCCGACGUGACAAACACAUUCAAGAAAAUAAAGGUGAUUCUCUCUAAUGUUAUAUCAGGGACAAUGAAAGGACUGACGAAUGUAAAUGCUGUCAAGGGUUAUCUCUACUUCCUCUUCUCUUUGAUUUUUUAUUAAGAUUUUUAUAGUUCAUUCAUUCAAUAAUAAUACUAAUAAUAAUAAUAAUGAAUACAAAAGUACAAUACAUAUAUGCAUACAUGCAUGCGAGGCAUAUUGUGCUUGCCUAUAAAAAGCAGAUAACCCUUGAAGUUGAGAAUUCAUCCACACAUCAAGUGAAGCACACAAUUUAGCCUUGUUUUUUCUACAUAUCCAUUUCUGAUUUCCUUUAUAUUCAUAGAUUUUGAGAUAUUUUCAGCCAUAUUGAGAGAAAAUGUGAUGGUUGUCGAAACCAACAAAAAUAAAUUCCUACUCUAAAUAAAUUGUGUAUAGUGAUUGAGCAGGGUCGUGUCCACAGAGAUCGGUAAUUAUUUAAAUCCUUUUGAAACGUAAAAUGUAAAAUGGGGGAAUUGUUGACAAUAAUAAAAAUCAAAUUGAAAUAACAAGAAUGCAAAUUAAAGUUGUAAUUCAAAUUGGAGAAAGCUCUGGUUGAAGGAAUUAACUCAGCUUGAUUCGACUACUGAUCAUUGAUUCAAAUAUAGAUUAUUAUUACUUAUGAAUAGACCGGUUAUAGCUAUUGAGACCCUCUAAUAGCCAAUCUCUCCUUAACUAGUCGAUAACCAAGGUACGACGGUUGGUUAUUUCCCUAAUCAAUGGACAACCCUAGAUACGAUCAUAGGAUUUAAUCAAUUGACAGCCUGAAAAACCAGAGAGACUCAAAUCCUAAUCAACACAUAUGAUGAUUCAUUUAAAUUAGAUUGUUUAUUCUCACAACACAACUCUUUGUUAUGUUAUUUGUCACAAACAUUAAAUUCUUUAUACGAUGAAUCCUUUAAUUGACUAUAGAUUAAGUUGAUAAUUAAAUAGUGGCCAAUUACCUAAUUAACAAACAUAAUCAUGAAAAUAAUUCAGAGAAUAAACAAAUAUCCAAAAAGCAAUAAAACAAUUAAAGCACAAGAAAGAUCUCACAGUAGUGAUGAAUCAAAGCUUCAUUAUCCUUCAACCAGAAAAAUAGGUUUAGUUCUUCAUAGAGAGAAGAGAAAAAUUAAGAUAUAGGGUUUCUUUCUUUUCCUCCAAUCUCAAUGUCCCCCUUUUUUUCACAAUUGAUUCCUCCCUUAAAUACUCUCUCUCUCUUCUCCUCUAGAAUUCUAUUUAAAAUAAAAUACUAAUAUCUGAAAUAUUAAAUUCGUAAUUACAAAAAUAACCAAAAAUACAAAACACGUUAAACUAAAAACUGCAGGUUCGCAGUUGACAGCACGCGCCCACGCCUUAUCAACAAAGUUCUUCUGACUCUCUAAAUUUCUCCAAGAGAACAAUCAUCCUUAAACAUCAUCUUAUAGCUCAAUUUUAUCACCAAUCAAUAGAAUUGCACCUACAAAAGUAAAACACAAGUAAAUCACUAUUAUUAAGUGCAAAACAUAGAUAUUAAGGGAAGUAAACAAUGCAAAACUAGUGCAUAAAUUGCACUCUAACAAAAUGCAACUUCCAAAACCAAUCAAAGUGAAUCCAAUUGUUGACGAAAAUCCCAUAUUUGAAAACGGCAAGGAAGAUCAACCCUUGAGUCCAAUGUCUCGUUUAUUUCAUGAACCCGAAUCCAAUCUAUACAUCGUUGUAAUGAUUGGCUUUAAGUCAAAAACCAACCCAGAUUUUGUGAAAGCAAAUCUCGGACAUUCGUUACUCAAGCAGCAAAUCUCGGACAUUCGUUACUCAAGCACCAUCGUUUCUCUAGUUUACAGGUACAAAACAUGACCAACAAAUGAUCAUCUCCAAUAAUUAUGGUAUUACAACUUUUUCAUAUAUAUAUAUAUAUAUAUUCACUUUUCUUGGAUAUAUUCACUUUUUCUUAAAGGCAGAAGCUUGUGAUCAACUUUUUAAUCUCUCUUUCACCACCAGAUUUCGAACUCAGUUAGGCAUGGGCACGUUCGGUUUCAAUUCUUACCGUACGUGUGAAGAAAAAAUAUUGUUAUUGAUCAAUAGAUGAAUAAAUUGAGUCGGCGUUAAGCUCAAGCCAAAACUUAGUGUACUAGACAUAUCUACGUAAUUUUUAAUUGACAUUAUGGCAGGUUGAAGAUGAGAAGAUUAAAGGAGGGCUGAAAUGGGUUCCAACAAAGGUGAAUUUGGACAACCACGUUAUUGUCCCAAAUUUGGAGCCAAAAUCAAUUGAUUCAGCAGACAAGUUCGUCGAAGAUUAUGUCUCAAACCUAAGCAAAACUGGAAUCAAAAUGUCCAAGCAGCCAAUGUGGGAUCUCCAUCUCCUCAACAUUAAGACUUCGGAUGCUGAAUCUGUCGCCGUUCUCCGGGUGCACCACUCACUUGGUGAUGGAACUUCUCUCGUGUCUCUUUUUCUUUCUUGCACUCGUAAAGUUUCUAAUCCUGAGGAAUUACCCUCCAAUAGUAUUCCUCCGACUAGCAAAGAAGGUGAUUCCAGAAGCUAUGGCAUUAAAGGGUUUUGGCCAUACUUGUCCUUCAAGUACUUUUGGUUUGUCUUCUCACUGUUUUAUAACACGCUGGUUGAUGCUGUGAUGGUUAUCGCGACGAUAUUAAUGUUUGUAAAGGAUAGUGAAACUCCCCUCAAAGGUAUCAUGGGUAAGGCUUCUGGUCCACGCCGAAUUGUUCAUAGAUCACUCAGCUUGGAUGAUUUCAAGUUUGUCAAGAAUGCCAUGAAUACUGUAAGUAACAAGAGAGAGCAGCAUAUGUUGUUCUUGUUUAUUUAUCUUUAUAUUAUUCGAAGAGUAAGUUUGAUCAAUUACUUUAGUGGCUUUUGAUUUUGCGCGCCAAUCAAAAGUUACAUACUGAUAUUAGGAGCCAUAUAUGCAGCGUGCAUGCACAGUUCUUUGACAGGGACACAGAAAAUUGGCUGAGAAUAAUUCUUAGGCUAACAUAAGUAUAUUAUAAGUAUGUGCGGCCUUAAAUUUAUAAGUUAGCUUUUUAGUAUUGGUUUUUGUCUAUUAGCUUCUACAUAUAUAUGGUAGUAUACUAAACUCAUGUAUUAGUGGGCAUACCUUCUAUAGGACCAGGAACCAAACAACAAGAUUAAGCGGCAUGCGAUGGGUUGGGAAUAAUUCUUAGGCCAAGUGCAUAUGCUUGAUGCAAAACCUCAAUCAUAAGCUUACUUUUUAGAGUUAUACACAUGAUUUUUUUCUUUUUUCCCUUUCGCUCUCCCUGCAAUAACUAAUUUUUCUGAUCAUGCUGUUCGGCUACUCUAUUUUAGACAUUGUUGUUGGAAGAAUGACACUUUAGUCCUUACAAAUUAUUCUUCCUACUUAUAAUAUACUUAAUGUUAAAAAGAAUAUAUAUAUAUAGAGAGAGUAAUUUUCUAGUUCAGGAUUUUAAAGUGCAGGAAACGUUUAGAAAAGUUUUAGAACUGUGGGAUUUAAGAGGUUUCAAAUUUAAAGCGCCUAAAUCGCACGGUUUAUAUGUUUUCUUAAAUUUUUUUACAUUUUAAAAUUUCAGAUUGAAACAUUUCUAUAUGUGUGUGUAUUAUUAAAACAAUAAUAAAAAAUAAUAAAAAUUUGUUAAAUGGUCUCUGUGACUUUUUAACUCACAUCUUUAUUAGUUCUAAUUUGGGUCUCAGAUAAUUAAUUUUUUGAAUGUAAAAUAUAGUAUUUACCCUUCAACGAUAUGUUUGAUCUUAAUAUUUUAACGUCAAUAUAAAAUUUGAUGUGGAAAAUUUAUCAGGAACCGAAUGAUAAAAACAAAUUUUAAAGGAGAUAAAAGUACAUCUCUUUUGCAACUUUCCCUGAAAGAAACUGGUGUUUUGGAAAAAAAAAAAAUUUGCCCUUUUUUUUUAACAAAUAUUAUUACCUUGUAUUUGCUGUUUAUAGACGAUCAAUGAUGCUGUGGUAGCGGUCACCCAAGCUGGCUUGUCUCGGUACUCAAUCGGAAAUAUGGUAAGGCGUCAAUUCUCUUCAUAAUAAUCUUGUUCGAUCCAAUUAAUUUCCGUGAGCGAUCAAAGUAUUUUUCAUACUACCGUCAUUGCUAACAAAUUCAUUAAGGGACAAUGAUUUUUUAUUCCUUCUCACAAAUUGUUUUUAUCACUCGAUCAGAUCCUUUUAUAAAUUUUUAAUAACUCUAAUUAAUUCUAAUGUCAACAAAAUUCAAAAAAACAGUGCACCAUUAAAAGAAAAUGUUGUAUUUUAACAUAUAUAAUAAUUAAUUGUUUGAAGAAUGUGCACAAAUUAUACUAACCAAUCAGAAUUGCAAAAUGUCACAUCAAUACAUUAAAAAUGUACUUUCUUAGUUAAUUUUUCCAUUUCGAAUGCCCAUAUUAAUUUUUUCAAUCCUAACCUCUCUCAUAAUUCAGACUUAGGUGCCGGCGUAAGAAAAUUACUUGAAAUCUUAUAACAUAAAAAUUUUAAAAAUUUUAUGAUGGACCCAAGUAAUAACAAAAAUUUCUAAUGGAUACAAGAGAUAUCAAAGCGUGAAUCUUCCUUCUACUAGAUAUUUCAUCAAAUAUGGUUAAUAUUAAAGCCGUCUCAGCUCUGGUUUAUAUUGAUAUAUAUUAUAGGUGAAUUGUUGCUGGUUAAUAAGGGAGCAUCAGAAAGAAACAAUAAUCUUCCAAAAAAUAUCCGUCUCAGAGCAGCAAUCAUGAAGGACCUUAGGUCAUCUGGUGAAGUUCAAGUAAGUACUUUUAAUCAUCGCAUUCAGAAGAUGCAUUGAUUCUACAUAUUAUAUCCAAUUUUUUAUUGUUUGCCCUUUUUUUUUUUGUAAACAGGAAUUAGCUGAUACUGUGAAGAAUGGUUAUAAAACAAAAUCGGGCAACAAAAUUGGCUUUGUAAUCUUCCCCUUCAGCAUUGCAUUAAGAGAUGACCCAUUAGAUUAUGUAAAAUAAAGAAUGGAGUUUAUGAAUAAAACUCUUGUAUAUCUUGCAUUAACGUUGCUACAUAUAUAUAUAUAGAUGUACAACCCUAAAGAAUAGAAUCCUAACUAGAAAAGCAUUACAGAUUCAUAAUAUAUAUACAAAUCUAAUUGCUUUAAAUAUGAAACCGAAUUCUAUAUGACUUCUAUAUACAAAACCGAAUGCUAUACGAAUUCUAUACGUUAAUACUCCCCCUCAAGGUGGAGCGUGGAGAUCAACAACGCCCAACUUGCGUAUAUGAUGAUGGAAAAGAGCAUGUCCGAGAGGUUUUGUAAACACAUCAGCUACUUGCAUGGAAGUAGGAAUAUGCAGUGGUAAUAACAAAUUGGAUUGCACACGCUCUCGCACGAAAUGACAAUCUAACUCAAUGUGCUUUGUUCGCUCAUGAUAGACAGGAUUCUCGGCGAUAUAUAAAGCUGAUUGAUUAUCACAAUAGACAGUCAUAGGAUCAUGUUGAAGGUGCCCCAAAUCAGCAAAAAGUGCUUUAAGCCACUGUAAUUCACAUGAAAGAUCAGCCAAGGAGCGAUACUCAGCUUCUGCUGUAGAUCAAGAGACCACAUUUUGCUUCUUUGUUUUCCAAGAUAUAGGGCUGUCACCAAGGAAAGUACAAUAACCAGUAACAGAUCGACGUGUAGUAGGACAACUACCCCAAUCCGCAUCACAGUAACCCCGGAUAUGUAAGUCACUUGUUGAAGAUAAUAAGAUACCCUUGCCUGGUGAGCCUUUUAAAUACCGAAGCACUCGAAUGGCAGCAUCCAUGUGAGUAGUUCGUGGUUCAUGCAUAAAUCGACUUAAAACAUGCACUGCAAAGACAAUAUCAGGCCUGGUAACUGUGAGAUAGAUCAACCGACCUAUAAGACGUCGAUAACUUGAGGGAUUUGAUAAAAGGUCGCCAUAUGUAGAUGAAAGCCGAAGUUGUUGUUCCAUUGGAAAAUGAGAAACUUGUCCAGCAAGUAAACCAGCAUCUUUUAAAAUAUCCAGGGCAUAUUUUCGCUGACUCAAGAAAAUCCCACGUGAUGAUCGUGCCACUUCUAUCCCCAAAAAAUACUUCAACUUCCCUAAUGCCUUGAUGUAAAAUUUCUGUGCAAGGAAAUCUUUAAUUCUGCUAACCUCGGCAGCAUCAUUCCCUGCUACGAUAAUAUCAUCAACGUAAACUAACACAAAGGUUGAAAAUUUGGCAUUAGUUUUUACAAAUAAUGAAUAGUCAGCUUUAGAUUGGCGAAAACCAGCUUGUUGAAUGGUAGCAGAAAACUUGGAAAACCAAUUUCUGGAUGCUUGUUUUAAUCCGUAGAUAGAUUUGUUGAGUUUGCAGACUAGAUGCUCCCCCUGCUUAGAAAAACCUUGUGGUACUUGCAUAUAAACUUCUUCCUCUAAAUCUCCUUGUAAAAAAGCAUUGCUUACAUCUAAUUGUUCUAAAAUCCAUCCCUUAACAGCCGCAAGAGAAAGUAAAGCUCUCACAGUGACAAGCUUAGCAACCGGUGAAAAAGUAGCAUGAUAAUCAAUGCCUUAUGUUUGAGUAUAUCCCUUAGCAACUAAACGAGCUUUGUAACGCUCAAUGGUGCCAUCGGAUUGAUAUUUAAUUUUGUAAACCCAUCUGCUGCCAAUAGCCUUUUUACCAUCUGGCAAAUGAGUUAGAGUCCACGUAUUAUUUUUCUCAAGAGCUGUUAUCUCAUCCUCCAUGGCUUUGCGCCACUCAGGUAACUUGACUGCCUCAUGAAAAAAACUUGGUUCGGUUGUAGAGGUAAUGGCAGACAAAAAAGACUUAUGUGCUGGAGAAAAACGAUGAUAAGAAAUAAAAUUGUGAAGAGGAUAUUUCUUACCUGGAGACGAAGAAAUAAGAUCAGCAGGGGUAGAAUUGUGAGAAGCCAGAGUACAAUAAUCGUGAAGGUAAGCUGGUGGGCGUCUAUCACGUUGGGGUCGUGUGGGAGUUUGGAUAUUUUGGUUGCCUAAAGAAAGUGAUGAAUCUAAGGUUGCAUCUGCUGGUGAACUAGGCUGUUGGGUAGAUGAUGUUUCAGUGAUGAUGUGUUCAUGAGUGGUGUUAGGAGAAGAAGAAUUGGUCACGGAUGGAUCUGUGUCUUGCAAAGGUGGGUCACGUUCAUGAAGAGCAUGUGAUGAACUUAUGUUUUCAUUAGGAGAAGGUGAUAAAAAAAUAUUGGACUCAAAAAAAUUUUCAUCAAAUAAAACCUCAUUAGUGGCAUGUGUAGAAAAAACCGGUGAUUUAACAUCCUUAAAAGGAAAAAUAUGUUCAUAAAAGAGAACAUCACGUGACACAUAGAUUGUCUUAGAUUCAAUAUCAUAAAUCCGAUAUCCUUUUUGACUAAAAGGAUAACCAAUAAAAAUUCCCAUUUUUGCCCGUUGAUCAAAUUUAUUUUUAACUUGUAAAUUUUUGGCAAAACACAAGCAACUAAAAACUUUUAGGCGUGAUAAAUCUGGUGCUAUACCAAAAAGCAUUUCAUGUGGGGUUUUUCCAUUAAGAACAUCACUAGGCAAUUUAUUGAUCAAAUACGCUGCAGUAAGAACACACUCCCCCCAGAAUUUAAUUGGCAAAUUGGCUUGAAAACGUAUACCUCGCGCAACUUCGAGAAGAUGGCGAUGUUUACGCUCAACCACACCAUUCUGUUGUGGUGUUCGAACGCAACUUCUUUGAUGAAUAAUCCCUUGGUCUAAAAAAAAUUUAUGUAAUUCUUUAAUAAGAAAUUCAGUCCCAUUGUCAGAACGCACAAUUUUAAUGUUAGCAUUAAAUUGAGUUUUUAUCAAUGCAUGAAAAGAACGUAAAUGCAAUUGGGUUUCGGAUUUGGUUUUCAUUAAAUAUAACCAAGUGCAUCGAGUAUAAUCAUCAACAAUGGUUAAAAAAUAAUGAGCCCCUGAAAAACUUGAAGUUGAAAAAGGACCCCAAACAUCACAAUGGAUUAAUUCAAAAGGUAUUUUACUUUUGAUGCUACUAAUGGAAAAUGGCUUUCUAGUUUGUUUUGCUUUAGGACAAAUAUCACAAACAUAUUCUUUAUUAAAACUAACCAUAGGACAAGUUUUUGAAAAAUGCUCUAAACGUCCAAGAGAAGGGUGGCCAAGUCUCCAAUGCCAAAGAUCAAUCUCAUGUGUAGAGGUGAUUUGGGAGGUGAAAGAAAAUGCAGCUGGAAGUUGGAUGUAGAAAAGACCUUCACGAAGUCUACCCUUGCCAAUCUGCUUCUUCGUGUAUAGGUCUUGAAACUCACAAAAAUUGGAAGAAAAAAUUACCUUAUAUCUAUUUGAUUUGGUUAACUGACUAACAGACAGUAAAUUAAACUUAAAACUCGGAAUGUAAAAUACUUUGUCUAAUAAAAAAUCUGGUGAAAAUGAGACUUUCCCUAUGUGAGUGACUUGUGCUACUGUACCAUCUGGUAAUUGAACGUGAAGAGGAACAUGACAUGGUUCAUAGGAGUGAAAAAAAUCUAGCGAACUACACAUAUGAUUGGUAGCGCCUGUAUCUAUGAUCCAAGUAUGUGAUAAAGAGGAAUUAAGUGAUAUACCUGCAAGAUUCGCAGUAUGUAGACUACCUGAAGAGGACAACAUAGCUAGGAGUUUUUGAUAUUGCUCUUGAGUAAAUAUUGGUGCUUGGACGUCUUGAUUGCUAUUUGUUGCCAAGGCAGCUUUAAUCUCAUUUUUAUUACCUUGUCCACGUCUUCUCCAAUUUGGUGGAUAUCCAUUUAACUCAAAACAUUUUUGUUUUGUGUGGCCUAAUUUUCCACAGUGUUCACACGAUGGUCUGCCCCCAUUUGCAUUCAAGUUUCCUCCUCUGCUAUCUACUGCAGAAUUGUUAUUCCAAUUCCUAUUUCCAAAUGAAUUUCGGCUUUGUGUUGUCAAUGCUGCAGCUUCUGGAGAUCCCCCUAUAGCGUGAAUAUCUUGUUGUUUUUCUUCUUGCCUCACAAGGGAAUAAAUUUUAUUUGCAUUAGGAAAAGGAUCCAUCAACAAAAUCUGACUCCUCGUUGCUGCAUAUCUAUCAUGUAAUCCUUGAAGAAACUCCAUAGCUCGAUCUAGUUGCUGCAAUUGACUGACAGUUUUUGUAUUCGCACAAGUACAUGGUCCUACUUGUUGUAGAGAAUUCAACUCAUCCCAAAGCGCCUUCAUGCGAGUAUAAUAAAGUGAAGCAGAUACAUCUCCUUGUCGUAAAUUAGAGAUGGCCUGUUUGAGUUCAUAGAUUUUUGGCGCAUUGGUCUGCUGAAAACGUUCUUGCAAAUCCUGCCAUACUUCUCUAGUAGACUGUGCAUACAACACACUUCCCGCAAGUUCAUUUGAUAUGGAGUUCAACACCCAUGAUCCAACAAGAUCAUUACAACGCUGCCAUCUACCACCAUCAUCUUCAUCUGGUUUUGAUAUAGUUCCAUCAACAAAACCGAGCUUGUUUUUCGCUCGUAAAGCCAUAGUCAUUGCCCUUACCCAUGUACCAUAGUUAUCACCAGUGAGUAAAGGAGAGACCAAUAUAGCAGUUGGACUAUCUGAUGGGUGGACAAGGAAGACGUCAUCCUCCUGUUUAUUAAGGAUGGCAGCUUGUUUUGAUGAUUGACCAUCUGCCAUGAGUAUUUAAACAAAAGCAAAAGAACGAAGAUAAUAAUUUGAUAAGUGAGCAAAGCUCUAAUACCAUGUAAAAUAAAGAAUGGAGUUUAUGAAUAAAACUCUUGUAUAUCUUGCAUUAACGUUGCUACAUAUAUAUAUAGAUGUACAACCCUAAAGAAUAGAAUCCUAACUAGAAAAGCAUUACAGAUUCAUAAUAUAUAUACAAAUCUAAUUGCUUUAAAUAUGAAACCGAAUUCUAUAUGACUUCUAUAUACAAAACCGAAUGCUAUACGAAUUCUAUACGUUAAUAGAUUACCUUAGGGAAGCAAAGGCAAGAAUGGAUAGAAAGAAAGCUUCACUGGAGGCCGAAUUCUCUUAUUUAUUAUCUCAAUACACCGUAAAGUUUGGUAUCAAGGUAACUAGCAAUUAAUUACUAUGCUUUAAUUCAAAUACGGAAGCACUAUAGCAAACUAUGUUAAUUAAUUUAACUGAUUAAUUAAAUGGUGUUAAUUUUCAAUGUUGAUAAGCAGGGAGCCAACUGUCCAUCCAAAACAACAUUGUUGUUCUCAAACGUGAAGGGACCUCAAGAAGAAAUAAGUUUCUAUGGCCAUCCAAUUGCCUAUGUUGCCCCCAGUUGCUAUGGACAAACCAAUGUAAAGCAUCUUCCCAAUUUUAGAUUUUUAUAUAGACAUUGACAAAUUUAGAUAUGUAAAAUCAUAAUACAACUAGUCGAUCAAGAACAUAAUAAGCCUUAUCCCUCUAAAGAAACAUCGUGAUAGAAGAGAAAAAAGGGGGGGGGGGGGGGGAAGUUCUUUAAACCGCAAGGAUUUUUAACUAAACAAAAAUCAAUUUAAUGGAACGUUUUNNNNNNNNNNNNNNNNNNNNNNNNNNNNNNNNNNNNNNNNNNNNNNNNNNNNNNNNNNNNNNNNNNNNNNNNNNNNNNNNNNNNNNNNNNNNNNNNNNNNUAUUUUCUUUUCUUCCCAAGUUUACUUCCACAAUAUCUGAGAAAAUUUGUGCACAAUUCUUUCGAUUGGAUCUAACGGGAGAUGAUUAUAUUUAUAACUUCUAUUUUAAUAAUUGCAGGGAUUGACGAUUCAUGUUGCAAGCUAUGCCAACAAAAUGACCUUCAUCUUAUCAGUUGAUGAUGACUUGAUUCCUGAUCCACAUCAGCUGCGUGAUGAUCUUGAAGAAUCUCUCCACCUCAUGAAAAAUGCAGUCAUUGGUCGAGGAUUAACCAAAUCCAAUGCUUCUGAUUACUAAUACUAGAGUGUGGCCAAGUAUUCCGUUCAAAUACCUAAUUACUGCUGGCAUUAGUUAUCGAAAUCAAUAAAAAUAAUAGAACAGGGAAGAAGGGUGUAAUUGCUCUACUUCU
rnacentral:lncRNA from 1 species